CCUACGGGUGGCAGCAGUGAGGAAUAUUGGUCAAUGGGCGGGAGCCUGAACCAGCCAAGUCGCGUGAGGGAAGACGGUCCUAUGGAUUGUAAACCUCUUUUGGCGGGGAGCAAUGCCGGGCACGUGUGCCCGGAGGGAGAGUACCCGCAGAAUAAGCAUCGGCUAACUCCGUGCCAGCAGCCGCGGUAAUACGGAGGAUGCGAGCGUUAUCCGGAUUUAUUGGGUUUAAAGGGUGCGUAGGCGGAUUUUUAAGUCAGCGGUAAAAUGUUCGGGCUCAACCCGGGCCGGCCGUUGAAACUGGGGUUCUUGAGUGGGCGGGAAGUAUGCGGAAUGCGUGGUGUAGCGGUGAAAUGCAUAGAUAUCACGCAGAACACCGAUUGCGAAGGCAUCACACGGAUGCGCGAUUGACGCUGAUGCACGAAGGCGUGGGUAUCGAACAGGAUUAGAUACCCUAGUAGUC
rnacentral:rRNA from 1 species